rnacentral:rRNA from 1 species
GAUGAACGCUAGCUACAGGCUUAACACAUGCAAGUCGCGGGGCAGCAUGGAUGUCCUUUCGGGGACAUCUGAUGGCGACCGGCGUACGGGUGAGUAACGCGUAUCCAACCUGCCCUUUACAACGGGACAGCCCGUCGAAAGGCGGAUUAAUACCGUAUGUUGUCAUGUUGAUGCAUAUUUUCAUGACCAAAGGCUUCGGCCGGUAAAGGAUGGGGAUGCGUCUGAUUAGCUUGACGGCGGGGUAACGGCCCACCGGGGCGACGAUCAGUAGGGGUUCUGAGAGGAAGGUCCCCCACAUUGGAACUGAGACACGGUCCAA